rnacentral:rRNA from 1 species
CGCGAAUCAGCAUGUCGCGGUGAAUACGUUCCCGGGCCUUGUACACACCGCCCGUCACACCAUGAGAGUUGGCAAUACCCAACGUACGUGAUCUAACCCGCAAGGGAGGAAGCGUCCUAAGGUAGGGUCAGCGAUUGGGGUGAAGUCGUAACAAGGUACC